UGUAUGGACUCGAGACCCGUGC
rnacentral:siRNA from 1 species